rnacentral:lncRNA from 1 species
GCAGGACUGGAGGUUUGGCUCUUCAGUCUUGGAUCAGCCGCAGCUCUGCUGUGAUUUUACAUUGGGUUGUCCCUUCUGCUUUUUGAAGUAUCAGUCUUUCCUUUUCAUAAGAUUUCUUAAAUAUCUUUUCAGAAUUAGCUUUUUUCUGUCUAACUAUUUAAAAACAUCCACAACUUCAGAAUCAGCUUUUGUCAGGAGAGAGAGAGAAAAAAAAAAUUGCUAGGUUUGUUUUUUGCUGGCUCUCUUUGCUUGUCGAGAGAUCGAAACACUGCUUAAAUCUUUUCCAGCUGUCCAGCACGUAUGCAGCGUCUCAACCCCGGGGCUCUGAAGCGCUCCGUUCUCCCCCCCGGCGCUCCCCUGCCCUUUGCGCAAGGUGCCCGAGAGGUCUGGUUUUCUCUGUGCCUUCCUCGCAGAGCUUCUGUGCUGCUGCUUCCUCGCUGCUGGACUGUGCUGCACCAGAUCACACAGUAAUUGGACCCAUCUUAAAAACACACACACAAAAACAAACAGAAAACUCCAAACUGUUUUCACUUUUCACAGCGUGUAGAAAGAAAAUAGCGCAAAUACUCGCAAGGACCACACGGAUUUUAUACCCGUUUCUUUUAUGA